GAUGAACGCUGGCGGCGUGCCUAAUACAUGCAAGUCGAGCGAACAGACGAGGAGCUUGCUCCUCUGACGUUAGCGGCGGACGGGUGAGUAACACGUGGAUAACCUACCUAUAAGACUGGGAUAACUUCGGGAAACCGGAGCUAAUACCGGAUAAUAUAUUGAACCGCAUGGUUCAAUAGUGAAAGACGGUUUUGCUGUCACUUAUAGAUGGAUCCGCGCCGCAUUAGCUAGUUGGUAAGGUAACAGCUUACCAAGGCAACGAUGCGUAGCCGACCUGAGAGGGUGAUCGGCCACACUGGAACUGAGACACGGUCCAGACUCCUACGGGAGGCAGCAGUAGGGAAUCUUCCGCAAUGGGCGAAAGCCUGACGGAGCAACGCCGCGUGAGUGAUGAAGGUCUUCGGAUCGUAAAACUCUGUUAUUAGGGAAGAACAAAUGUGUAAGUAACUAUGCGCGUCUUGACGGUACCUAAUCAGAAAGCCACGGCUAACUACGUG
rnacentral:rRNA from 1 species